CUCCAGACUCCUACGGGAGGCAGCAGUGGGGAAUAUUGCACAAUGGGGGAAACCCUGAUGCAGCGACGCCGCGUGGGUGAAGAAGUAAUUCGUUACGUAAAGCCCUAUCAGCAGGGAAGAAAAUGACGGUACCUGAGUAAGAAGCCCCGGCUAACUACGUGCCAGCAGCCGCGGUAAUACGUAGGGGGCAAGCGUUAUCCGGAUUUACUGGGUGUAAAGGGAGCGUAGACGGAGCGUCAAGUCUGGAGUGAAAUGCCGCGGCUUAACCGCGGAACUGCUUUGGAAACUGGCGCGCUUGAGUGCGGGAGGGGUAAGCGGAAUUCCUAGUGUAGCGGUGAAAUGCGUAGAUAUCACGCAGAACUCCGAUUGCGAAGGCAGCAUACCGGCGCCCAACUGACGCUGAAGCACGAAAGCGUGGGUAUCGAACAGGAUUAGAUACCCCGGUAUA
rnacentral:rRNA from 1 species